rnacentral:lncRNA from 1 species
CAUGUCACCACAGUGGUGACCCUUCUCUCUGACUCAUUUCCCAUUAUGAGCACAAUUAGCGUGCAGCAUGUGUCCUGGGAGAUUAAUGAUCCGCUGGAGGGAAGAAAGAGGAACUUGGGGAAUGGAUCUGGGUGUAGUCAGAGCUCGCCUCUCCCUGGGAGCUGCCUUGGUGCUGUAAAGGAUCUCAUGUCUUUUGCCAGCUUUGAUGAAACUUGCUAGUUGGAAAGCAGAGUGAAAUCUCAGGCUCUACAACUCUUGACAUAAGUAUUUUAUUCAUUUUUGGUGUCUAUGUUCUUGAAGUACUUAAGAGAUUUGGGGCUAUGCAAGUAAUAGACCAACUUUGUGAUUCAUAUUAAAAUUAAGUGAUUUAAACGCAGGAUUUUUAAUUUGAAAUUAUUUAAGUUUAUAAACAGUAUGGGAACAUUUAGAAAGACCUGGAUUCAUUCUGUUUAUAAUUGUAAUCCAUUAAAUUUAUGAAAAUUACCUAAGAAAUCUGAAAAGGUUUGGUUUAGCCAUCAGGCAAUUGAAGUACCUAAACAAGGAAAUAAAAUAUAUUAAAUUUAUAAAUCUUACUUUAAAUGUUUGAAUGAGUUAAAUAACUCCGUUUGUAUUGGGACCAAACUCUUUAACUCUUUAAGACUGCCUUAAAUCAUUUUGUUAAAAAUCUUAGAUUGAUUUCCACUUCUAUGUAGAGAGUUAGAAAGUAUAUCACCUCUACCCUAACAACAAGAAUAUGACAAAUGAAAUACAAAAUGAUAAUGUUCCUUGAACUCAUCAGAGGACUGACAUCACAGGGCAACUAAGCAACUAGAAUUCCAAAGAAGGACAAGCCCCUCCAAAGACAGGAAGCAUGAGGGCAGGCUCAUCAGUGUCAGAGCAGGGGAGACCAGCACAGACACCUUACAAGCAGAAUGACCUUCUGUGGCUACAGAGAAAGGCUUCAGGCAAAGAGAUGCAGCUCUGGGCCCCAGAGUCCGCUGGAGCACACUGAAGCUGGAGCACACUGAAGUGGAAGAUGGGGCUGCAGACAGAGACUGGGCAGCCUCUGCUCCAGGGAGGCCCGAGAGCCAGAGAGCAGAUUCCAUAAGAAGAAUAACUCCCAUUCCUCAUGCAUGAGACCCUCUGCUAAAUGCUUCCUGUGCACCACCUCCAGAAAUCCUCCCAAGCCAGGACACCAGCAGUAUUACAGGAACUGGAUGACAAAAAGAAGAGCCGAUAUAACCAGGAACCUACUCUGGCCACCCCAAGUGCUCCGCAUCAAGACUCAGCUGCAGAGAUGACUUCAGUGCAAGUCACAUACACACCAUUGGGCUGGUACCCGUGGCAGCUCUGCAGGGCUUCCAUAUUGGUCAUGGAUUUGGAUGGUGAGAAGAGCUGAGACAGACGGCACAGGUUCUCAGGAUGCUUGAGGCAGGCUGAGCUCCACGAGCAGAGACCAGGCUGAUGCAUGCUCCACAUCUUGCAUGCUUUGCUUAAAGAAUGAGCGAAAGGAGUAAAUGAAAUUGGUUCUUUCAAAGCAACAAGAACAUUUGUGACAUAUCUGCUAAGGUGGUGAGGGACAAAGAUGAAGGACUGCAGAGCUGUCUCAUAGGCUCCUUUGAGCAAAGCAUUCCUCCUCCAGGUUGAUUGAGAAUCAUCCAGGGAGAUGGGGGAAAUUCUGCCUUCACAAAGUUUCAG